UACGUAGGGGGCAAGCGUUGUCCGGAAUCAUUGGGCGUAAAGAGCGUGUAGGCGGCUUGGCAAGUCUCGCGUGAAAUCCUGCGGCUCAACCGCAGGCGGUCGCGGGAAACUGCCUCGCUAGAGUCCGGAAGAGGAGAGUGGAAUUCCUGGUGUAGCGGUGGAAUGCGCAGAUAUCAGGAAGAACACCCGUGGCGGAAGGCGGCUCUCUGGGACGGUACUGGACGCUGAGACGCGAAAGCGUGGGGAGCGAACAGG
rnacentral:rRNA from 1 species